UGAAGCCCUUCGGGGUGGAUUAGUGGCGAACGGGUGAGUAACACGUGGGCAAUCUGCCCUUCACUCUGGGACAAGCCCUGGAAACGGGGUCUAAUACCGGAUAACACUCUGUCCCGCAUGGGCGGGGGUUAAAAGCUCCGGCGGUGAAGGAUGAGCCCGCGGCCUAUCAGCUUGUUGGUGGGGUGAUGGCCUACCAAGGCGACGACGGGUAGCCGGCCUGAGAGGGCGACCGGCCACACUGGGACUGAGACACGGCCCAGACUCCUACGGGAGGCAGCAGUGGGGAAUAUUGCACAAUGGGCGAAAGCUGGGUGCAGCGACGCCGCGUGAGGGAUGACGGCCUUCGGGUUGUAAACUCUUUCAGCAGGGAAGAAGCGAAAGUGACGGUACCUGCAGAAGAAGCGCCGGCUAACUACGUGCCAGSAGCCGCGGUAAUACGUAGGGCGCAAGGUUGUCCGG
rnacentral:rRNA from 1 species